GACGAACGCUGGCGGCGUGCUUAACACAUGCAAGUCACGGGGGCCCGCAAGGGUAACCGGCGAACGGGUGCGUAACACGUGAGCAACCUACCGAGAUGUGGGGGAUAGCCGGCCCAACGGCCGGGUAAUACCGCAUGCGCUCUUUCCACGGCAUUGUGGAUUGAGGAAACCUCCGGGGCAUUUCGAGGGGCUCGCGGCCUAUCAGCUAGUUGGUGCGGUCACGGCGCACCAAGGCGACGACGGGUAGCUGGUCUGAGAGGAUGGCCAGCCACAUUGGGACUGAGAAACGGCCCAGACUCCUACGGGAGGCAGCAGUGGGGAAUCUUGCGCAAUGGCCGAAAGGCUGACGCAGCGACGCCGCGUGUGGAGGAAGCC
rnacentral:rRNA from 1 species